AGGCGAUGAAGGGCGUGCUAAUCUGCGAUAAGCGCCGGUAAGGUGAUAUGAACCGUUAUAACCGGCGAUACCCGAAUGGGGAAACCCAGUGUGAUUCGUCACACUAUCAUUAACUGAAUCCAUAGGUUAAUGAGGCGAACCGGGGGAACUGAAACAUCUAAGUACCCCGAGGAAAAGAAAUCAACCGAGAUUCCCCCAGUAGCGGCGAGCGAACGGGGAGGAGCCCAGAGCCUGAAUCAGCAUGUGUGUUAGUGGAAGCGUCUGGAAAGGCGCGCGAUACAGGGUGACAGCCCCGUACACAAAAGCGCAUGUGCUGUGAGCUCGAUGAGUAGGGCGGGACACGUGGUAUCCUGUCUGAAUAUGGGGGGACCAUCCUCCAAGGCUAAAUACUCCUGACUGACCGAUAGUGAACCAGUACCGUGAGGGAAAGGCGAAAAGAACCCCGGCGAGGGGAGUGAAAAAGAACCUGAAACCGUGUACGUACAAGCAGUGGGAGCACCCUUUGGGGUGUGACUGCGUACCUUUUGUAUAAUGGGUCAGCGACUUAUAUUCUGUAGCAAGGUUAACCGUAUAGGGGAGCCGGAGGGAAACCGAGUCUUAACCGGGCGUUAAGUUGCAGGGUAUAGACCCGAAACCCGGUGAUCUAGCCAUGGGCAGGUUGAAGGUUGGGUAACACUAACUGGAGGACCGAACCGA
rnacentral:rRNA from 1 species